CAACGGUCUAUUUCUUAUACCUUCUUCACCUCUUCUCUUUGCCUCACAUUCGUUCCUCGCUUUUCAAACUACAGAAGAACCUCAAAAUCUACCGACAACCAUAAAAAAUUCCCCACAAAUCUUGUUUAUCUCAGCCCCAAAUUCAUUCUUCCUCUCUCGAAUUAUACGAGAACUUCAAAAUCAAAAGAAAAUCCUGAAAAAAUCUCCAUAGAUCUCGUUUACAUCUAAGAAAUUGGAAUCCUCAGAAGACCCUUUUCUUCUUCUUUUGUAUUGUUGUCGACGAAGUGUUGUGGACGGAAGCUAUUCUUCUUUCUUCAUCGUUGUUUGAUUGCAAGCUCACUACAUAGACAAUUACCCACAGAAAAAGUUUAAUUUUGUCAAAAUUAUCUUGUUCAUGUCCUUUAUUUUGUACUUUCUACUUACUAGGGCAUUUUUCUUGUUCAAGCGCUAUUGCUCCUAAAAAGCUUAUUCACACAAAAUUGAUAUUCUUAAGAGUUGACAGAUGAUGUGGCCGAGUUUGAAAGAAUUGCAUGACUCACGAUUCUCACAUGGGCCUCUCCACAGCAUCGCCAGUGGAGACCAAAAAUUUUACACUAGAGGAAUUUCUGGACAAGAAUGAAAUAAUUCAGGAAUGCAGAUCUCUUAAUGAAUGUCUUAUUAAAUUGUAAGCUUCUGGUUCUCUCAUCAUGCUAAAAUUUUAUAAUAAUUGCUUUUGAUUCUUUUGUAUUCCAUUUUAUAUAUAGUUCUAGACUACUACCAUAUCAUCCCUUUUAAUAAAUUUCCCUAGCAGAAUUUGGUCAUGAGAACAAUUUUUAGCUCAUAGUUGCACUAAUUAUUUGUCAAGCUUUCAACCAAGAGAGCAAGUCUUGCGAAAAAAUAUAAUGGACAAGAAAUUCGAAAGUUCAAGAAAUUGAUGAUACAGCAAUGGGAUUCAGGCUUCUGAGGUUGCACGGGUAUAAGGUUUCUGCAGGUAGAGUUUUUGACUUCUAGAAAUCAUGACGGCGAAGUAAUGUAGAUGACAAAAGUACAAUUCACCAAUGUUUGUUGGGAUUGUAUCAAUUCUUUUGGAUUAAAAUGGCUGAAGUAAUGUUAUAAUUUCAUGGAAACCUUAUCUAUUAGUAUGCUGGCGUGUGCUAUUUAGGGAAAGAAUGUAUCUGGUUGUUGUUGUUUUGCAAGUGAAGUGUCUAGCAUAUGCAAAAAUGUGUUCUUCAAUUGUCUCUAAACUAUCUUUGUUGCAUAUAAUUCUGAAAUAUAGGAUGACAAUUUUCUAGGAUCUAGGAAUCUUUGUCACGAGGCAAAUAUGUGAAGUGGCCUAUUACAUAAUUAGUUUAAAAUGCAUUUAAAAAAAGUAAUGAUAUUUAUGAGUAAAUAGGCCAAAAAUGGACAAGUUUACGUCUUUUUGAUAUGGAAUUAUUUUAUGAAUUUCUUCGUCCUAUUUGAUACCCUGUAAAUCAUGGCAUUUAAUUAAAAUUUUACGAGUUAAUAAAUCUUUUUAUCGAAAUUAAUGUGAACUUACGAUGUUCACCUUUGACAUACUUUAUAUGUUAACUAAUAUUUUUCCUCAUUUUCAAGGAUUGGUGCUUGCAACCCUUGUCAUUAUUCCUUGUGUUGAGCAUCAAAGCAAUGUCACUUAUGACUCUUGAAUGGUAAAUGAGUUUUGCUAUUGUUUUUUUCUGCCAAAAUGUUGCCUGGUGCAAGAAUUUGGGUCUUGAGGGCAUGUGGGUAUGGUUUUUGAAAGAUAACAUAACUAUGUGGCAAAUGAUAUUUUAAGUAAUGGUACUACUUCGUUGCCAAGCGGAUAAUAUGUUUGACGCUCUAAGGUUAUGAUGCAUGUGGUAUGUGUUGUUUUUCUUCGCAUGGGAUUAAGCUUUUGACCAGCCAUGCAUCUCAUUUGGAAAUAAGGUGUGCGGGCCAUGUAAAUGUUUUCUAGGAUGAUGUGCAGUUUUGUUUGAGUACUCAGAUAGAACUAGCAGUAAAUCUAACAGUUGAUAAAAUCUUUGUAAGUUGAAGAACAAUUUAAUGAUGAUGAGGGAUGAGGAGUAAAAUGGCCUCAAAAGAAAAGAUAUUGGCUGCUGAUUAUAUGUGAUUGGAGUUGGAUUCUCUGCUCAUUGAGAUUCAGGUUUGUUGUAAAUUUCUAUACUGACGAUGUUUUGAUUGAUGUUUUUUAUAACUUUUCCCGUCUUUGUGAUAUAUCCUUCAUUAGAUGCUUUCAAUACUCGACUCCUCAUUUUUCUUACUGUUCAAAUGUUGACCUUAAGAGGUUUUCAUUGGACACAUCAUGUUGGUCUUUAUUUUUGCUCAACAAACAACAGCGUGAUCACAAUUCCAUGUCCAUGAAUUUCUUGAUACUAUUCUAUCUCUACAUAGUACAAUACAUCGAAGCAUAGUGGAAUUAGUGUUUUUGCGUUGGGCUUUGAAAAUGUCACAAAAGAGGUAGCAGCAAGAGGAGCCAAGCCUCGAUUUGAAGGCACUCCCUUUGAGGACAAACGGCAUCAAAGAGCGCCUUCUUUAAGAAGGUUGAUUAAAUUGAAAGAAAUAGACAAAAGUUGGUGAAGUUGGAUGAGAGGAGCAAAUUGUAAGAGUGUUCGAGGACUAAAAUCCAAUUAAUCAGAAGUUGUGUUAACCUCGCGAUGAAGAUCCAAGAGUAUUGGGAGUCAAUUGGAUGUUCACAAUCAAUUUCCAAAGGACAAGUUAUGCUUCGGAGUUUUAGCCACACAUUGAAACCCCUCUUUUAACAUAGCAAACAAUCGAAUUGGAGAAUGAUGCUGAAUCAAAGUUGUAGCCCUUUGAAUUAGCUUUUUAACGUAUCUUGAAUCAUCUCAAUCAGACAUUGGACGAGAAAGUUGUGCUAAAAAUACUGAAAGACGCGUAGAAUGUCAUUUCAGUCGAACCGGGCGCCACGGCGCACAUAUUGGGGGCUGCAGCGCCCAGGUUGUUGAAAUUAUGCAGAAACCAUGGCGACACAGCACCCAAAUUGGACGCCGAGGCGCUACCUUGCGAGGGAAGAAUUUUACAAUCUUUGGACUCUCCUCACGACCCAAUCCAACCCUAUCUUUCCAAGAUUUGAAGAACAUAUAAAUAUCAUUUCUUCAAGGGGGAACCAGCCGGCGAAAACAUAGAAAUCUGGAAUUGGAAGAAAGCUUCGGCCACCAGGAGAUUGAGAAGAGAUUUAGCCAGCAAGGACAACAAUUUGAAGAAGGAUACUGGACACAAUUGGACACGGCUGGAGAAUAAAUAAAAAAGUAAAUUAAUUUAGGGAAAUUGGCAAACUUUGGGAGAAGAAAUCGAGCGGCAACAAAACGAGUUUUUCUAAUCCUUUUUCUUCUCUAUGUUCUUUCUUUAUAAUUUAUUCAUGUCGAUUCUCUCAAUUAUGAACUAGACUUUAAUCCUAGGAAUUUGAUGUAGCCUACUUAGACGUGUUUUAAUUCCAAUAUAAUUAUUUCAUUUGAUC